rnacentral:ncRNA from 1 species
AAAAUUUUGGUCCUGGACUUACUGUUAUUUACUCCAAGCCUAUACAUGCAAGCCUCCGCACUCCAGUGAAACACACCGGUAUCAGGGCUACCUCCCUAAGACGCCAAGCCACGCCACAUCCACACGGAAUACAGCAGUAAUCAACAUUGGGCAAUGAGCACACGCUCGACCAGACUACGGAAAAUUAGGGCCGGCAAAUUUAUGUGCCAGCCGCCGCGGUUACACUGAAGACCCAAAAUAACACUCCCGGCAAAAAUGGUUAAAAAUAACCAACUACUAAGAACUAACCAAAGUUGACACGUAAAACAACACCAAACAGACAACCAAAAAUCUUACAUACAAAGGAUCUUUGACCCAUAAAAGUUAGGGCACAAACUAGGAUUAGAUACCCUACUAUGCCUAACUGCAAACUACCCCGCCAAACAAGUAUAAGCACACCUUUAAACUUAAAGGACCUGGCGGUACUCUACAUCAGCCUAGAGGGGCCUGUCUAAUAACCGACAAUCCGCGAAACACCCAACCAACUCUAGCCUUAUAAAGCCUAUAUACCGCCGUCCCCAGCACAUUUUACAAAAAAUGCAGCUAAAAAGCCGCCUACACUAAUACGUCAGGUCAAGGUGUAGCUAAUGAGUUGGAUAAGAUUGGCCACAGUACCAUACCAACAACUUAAUCCGCAAUGAAACAUGCAACAAAAACAACGGAUUUAGCAGUAAGAGAAUGAACGAACGCCUCUCUGAAACAUUAAUUCAAUAUAGCCCUUGAGUACGCACACACCGCCCGUCAUCCCCUUUAACAAAUACAAGGGGCAAGUCGUAACAUGGUAAGUGCACCAGAAGGUGUACUUAGAAG